rnacentral:tRNA from 1 species
GCCCCGGUAGCCCAACUGGCAGAACGGCAACGGAUUCAAAACCCGUACAGUGUGGGUUCGAAUCCCACCCGGGGCA